ACGGAAGGCAGCAGUGGGGGAUAUUGCACAAUGGAGGAAACUCUGAUGCAGCAACGCCGCGUGAGGGAAGAAGGUCUUCGGAUUGUAAACCUCUGUUUUUGGUGAAGAAACAAAUGACGGUAGCCAAAGAGGAAGCCACGGCUAACUACGUGCCAGCAACCGCGGUAAUACGUAGGUGGCAAGCGUUGUCCGGAUUUACUGGGUGUAAAGGGUGCGCGGGCGGGACCGCAAGUUGGAUGUGAAAUACCAGAGCUUAACUCCGGAGCUGCAUCCAAAACUGUGGUUCUUGCGUGGAGUAGAGGUAAGCGGAAUUCCGAGUGUAGCGGUGAAAUGCGUAGAUAUUCGGAGGAACACCAGUGGCGAAGGCGGCUUACUGGGCUCUAACUGACGCUGAGGCACGAAAGUGUGGGUAGCAAACAGGAUUAGAUACCCUGGUA
rnacentral:rRNA from 1 species